GACGUCCAUGGAUUGGACUGCAAGGAUUGGAUGCAAACCAAUGCACAUGAGGAGGAGAUAUGCAAGCCAGGCCAUGACCUAAAGAUGUCCUCGGAGAAGAUGGCCAUUGGAGUGUAGGGGAGGAACAACCUUGUCCUGCUCAAGGAGGAGGAGGAGGACCACCCAAGCUCGACGACGACACGGCAACAGCCUCGUCUCCCCCACCACCGCCCCUCGGCCUCCUCUAAUGUUGUUGCGGAUUCUUAGAAUGGAAAUGUUAUGUACAUCAAAAAUAUUCUCUAGUCUGAGUUUGCAAAUCCA